AUGGACCCCUCCGAGCGCCCCGCCGUCGUAUUCGACAACGGCACAGGGUACAACCCCGAAUCUCUCCGUCCGAUCCUGCGGCUGUACCGCUGGUAUAGCAAACUUGGGUUUGCUGGUAACUCCGAGCCGUCUUUCACCAUCCCUACUGUAGUAGCUGUGAAUGAAUCUUUCUUGGACCAAUCAGAGCAGUGCAGUAGUGCAAAUUGGCUAGCACAGUAUAAUGCAGGUGUCAUGGCUGAUCUUGAUUUUUUUAUCGGGGAUGAGGCUCUGUCACAUUUCAAAUCUAGUGGCCUGUACAGUUUAAGAAGCCCAAUUCGUCAUGGUCAGGUGAAUGACUGGGAUACAAUGGAGAGAUUUUGGCAGCAAUCCAUUUUCAAUUAUCUACGGUGCAAUCCUGAGGAACACUACUUCCUACUUACAGAUAGUCCUGUCAGUACGCCGGAAAGUCGUGAAUGUAUGGGAGAAAUUAUGUUUGAGACCUUUAAUGUCCCUGGUCUAUAUAUUUCUGUGCAAUCUGUGCUCAGCCUUUCUGCUGGAUUUGCAUAUCUGAAAAGUCUUUCUGAAGAGGAUUCAGAAGAUUCUGUGUCUGAUAUGACAGGUGUAGUAGUUGACAUUGGGGAUGGAGCUCCACAUAUUGUGCCAGUUGUAAACGGCUAUGUAAUUGGGAGUAGCAUAAAGUCUUUUCCUCUUUCCGGAAGUGAUGUAACUCAGUUUGUUAUGCAGCUCUUACAGGAAAGGGGUGAGCUUCUUCCACCUGAUGAUGCUUUGGAUAUAGCUCGUAGGGUGAAAGAAACGUAUUGCUAUACUCCUUCAGACAUUGUCAAGGAGUUCAAGAAGCAUGACAGCAAGCCUAGUAAAUAUAUCAAACAAUGGUCUGCAAUCAAACCGAAGACUGGGGUUCCAUACACAAUUGACGUUGGAUAUGAGCGUUUUCUUGGACCAGAGAUCUUCUUCCAUCCUGAGAUGUAUUCUGCUGACUUCUCCACUCCUUUACCUGAACUGAUUGACAGCUGCGUUCAAUCUGCACCAAUUGACACAAGGAGAGCUUUGUAUAAGAACAUAGUAUUAUCUGGUGGAACUACCAUGUUUAAAGACUUCCACAAGAGACUCCAAAAUAAUAUAAAGAAGAUAGUAGACGAACGUGUUGCCGAAACUAAUGCACAUCAUCGUGUGGAGGUGAAACCUGUUGAGGUCAACGUAGUCACCCAUCCUAUACAGAGCUACGCAGUUUGGUUCGGGGGUUCUGUAGCUGCAUCCAGCCAUGAAUUCUUCGAGUGCUGCCACACAAAGGAAGAUUACGAGGAGCAUGGAGCAAGCAUCUGCCGAACAAGCACCGUUUUCAAAGGAAUGUACUGA
rnacentral:rRNA from 1 species